rnacentral:rRNA from 1 species
UACGAGGGGUGCAAACGUUAUUCGGAUUUACUGGGCGUAAAGGGUGCGUAGACGGCACACUAAGUUUGUUGUUAAAUCUCCUGGCCUAACCGGGAGCUUGCGAUGAAAACUAGUAUGCUAGAGGGUGGAAGAGAGAAGUGGAAUUCUUGGAGUAGCGGUAAAAUGCGUAGAUCUCAAGAGGAACACCGAUGGCGAAGGCAGCUUCUUGGUCCAUCCCUGACGUUGAGGCACGAAAGCGUGGGUAGCAAACAGG